rnacentral:rRNA from 1 species
AUCGAACGCUGGCGGCAGGCCUAACACAUGCAAGUCGAACGAGUGGCGGACGGGAGAGUAAUGUCGGUGAAACUGCCUGAUGUAGGGGGCUAGCUACUGGAACCGGUAGCUAAUACCGACAACCAGCGGAUGUGGCCAGAUGGGAUUAGCUAGUAGGGGGGGUAAAGGAUCACCUAGGCGACGAUCCGUAGCUGGUCUGAGAGGAUGACCAGCCACACGGGAACUGAGACACGGUCCAGACUCCUACGGGAGGCAGCAGUGGGGAAUAUUGCACAAUGGGCGCAAGCCUGAUGCAGCAAUGCCGCGUGUAUGAAGAAGGCCUUCGGGUUGUAAAGUACUUUCAGCGAGGAGGCGUUACUCGCAGAAGAAGCACCGGCUAACUCCGUGCCAGUAGCCGCGGUAAUUC